AUUUUUUUCAAUGUUACACUCACAAAAUUGGAGAAUUUUUCAGGCUCAUCCAUUAUGUAGAUGUUCAAACAUUCCUCAUGUUUCGGAUAAUGAAUAAUGCAUGUAAAAAAUAAAAAAGCAAUAUAGUACAGCACUGCUUACAAAUUAAAAAUAUCAGCUUUAAUGAUUGCACUUACAGUGUAAAAGAGAUAAAAAGGCCCAUCAAUACAAUUCUGUGUGUUCGAUCAACGUGGAAUGGAACAGGCUUCAAAGAGGUAGUAGGCAGAAAAAUCAGGUAGAUAAAAUAACAAAAACAAUUAAAAACAAACUCUACACAUUCCGUCUGAUAUAUCAGACUUCCUCAGGAGUAGUAAUAGCAUUCAUGUAAAGUGCUUCAAAUCUUGUGGGGCUCACAGCUGUUUUUAAAGGUCCUUCCCAACGGUUUUCGGAUCCGUUCGUCCAAUCAAUAGCUUUCAAUUAAUUCUCCUUCAGUCACUUGUUCUCUUUCUUCCUUAUGCGUUCCACCGAUCCAGAAGUGUUCUCUCUUAUUCGUAUUCAGGUGGACAAUGUGGAAGUAGUUUGUAGCUGGAAUGCAUAUGCGUUCCACCGAUCCGGAAAUGUUCUCUCUUAUUCGUAUUCAGGCGGACAAUGUGGAAGUAGUUUGUAGCUGGAAUGCAUAUGUGUUCCACCUCGUCUUAAUACAGCUAAUGGAAAUGAGUCCUCACAUGGAUCUGCGGCAUAAAACAAAAAUCAUAUUGUAAUACAUUAGUGAUAUAUAGAUAUUACAGUAUUGUUCAUAUAUCAAUGUAAUGCAAUUAUA